CAGUGAGGAAUAUUGGCACAAUGGAGGCAACUCUGAUCCAGCCAUGCCGCGUGCGGGAAGACUGCCCUAUGGGUGGWAARCUGCUUUUAUACAGGAAGAAAUGUUCCUACGUGUAGGUAUAUGACGGUACCUGUAAGAAUAAGCAUCGGC
rnacentral:rRNA from 1 species